rnacentral:rRNA from 1 species
CCUACGGGAGGCAGCAGUGGGGGAUAUUGCACAAUGGGGGGAACCCUGAUGCAGCGACGCCGCGUGGGUGAAGGAGUAUUUCGGUAUGUAAAGCCCUAUCGGCAGGGAAGAAAUUGGACGGUACCUGACUAAGAAGCCCCGGCUAACUACGUGCCAGCAGCCGCGGUAAUACGUAGGGGGCAAGCGUUAUCCGGAUUCACGGGGUGUAAAGGGAGCGUAGACGGCCAUGCAAGCCAGGGGUGAAAGCCCGGGGCCCAACCCCGGGACUGCCCUUGGAACUGCAUGGCUGGAGUGCGGGGGGGGCAGGCGGAAGUCCUGGUGUAGCGGUGAAAUGCGGAGAUAUCAGGAGGAACACCGGCGGCGAAGGCGGCCUGCUGGACCGCGACUGACGUUGAGGCUCGAAAGCGUGGGGAGCGAACAGGAUUAGAUACCCCAGUAGUC